rnacentral:rRNA from 1 species
AUUGAACGCUGGCGGCAGGCCUAACACAUGCAAGUCGGACGGUAGCACAGAGGAGCUUGCUCCUCGGGUGACGAGUGGCGGACGGGUGAGUAAUGUCUGGGGAUCUGCCCGAUAGAGGGGGAUAACCACUGGAAACGGUGGCUAAUACCGCAUAACGUCGCAAGACCAAAGAGGGGGACCUUCGGGCCUCUCACUAUCGGAUGAACCCAGAUGGGAUUAGCUAGUAGGCGGGGUAACGGCCCACCUAGGCGACGAUCCCUAGCUGGUCUGAGAGGAGGACCAGCCACACUGGAACUGAGACACGGUCCAGACUCCUACGGGAGGCAGCAGUGGGGAAUAUUGCACAAUGGGCGCAAGCCUGAUGCAGCCAUGCCGCGUGUAUGAAGAAGGCCUUCGGGUUGUAAAGUACUUUCAGCGGGGAGGAAGGCGAUAAGGUUAAUAACCUCGUCGAUUGACGUUACCCGCAGAAGAAGCACCGGCUAACUCCGUGCCAGCAGCCGCGGUAA